GACCGCGUAGCUCAGUUGGAAGAGCAUUGGGCUAGUAUUCCAAAGGUCGUAGGUUCGAAUCCCACCGUUGGCC
rnacentral:tRNA from 1 species